CUUGACCUGAAAGGGGAAUAAGAGAUUUCAACAGUUUUGAUCAUUCUGGAGAGGAGUUGUCUUUGGACAGAUGUAACUCUGAAAAGAUUGUAAAGCAGCUGGAGCCAUGUUCUUCAGAAUAGUGCAUGGUGAGAAGACAAGAGAAAAUGAAAUAGACUGAAACAAAAGAGCUUCCAACUGGGUACAGUAGAAACCUUUUCAUCAUGAAGGCAGAAAAUUAUAGGAAGAGGUUUUCCAGAGAGACGGUGAAGUCUCUGUCCUUGGAUGUUUUCAAGAUUUGACUGGAUAAAUCAACUAUGGCUAACAUUGCUUUGGAGAGGAGGUUGAACUAGAAACCUCCAGAGGUACCUUGCAAUCUGAAUUGGUUUAUAGUUCUAUGAAGGAUGAGAUAUUAAGCACAGGCCUUCCUAAUUUGAAGGAAGGAAGAAUUUGUCUUGUUUUAAGAAUCCAUGGGAGAUGGUCCUGGAGACAAGACGGAUCACCUCUUCUUUUCAAAUAUCACCUCUUUCAAGGUAAAGAACUGUCCAUCCUACGAGUAGGAAAUCAAAACAAAGUGACAGGAGGCCUGCAUGGAUGAACAAGGAGCUCUUGACAAAACUCGCGCUUGAAAAGGACAAGAAAGUGACUAGGAGUUGAUCAACAGCAUGGAUUUUCUAAAGGCAAAAUCCUGCCUAACCAAGACAAUAGACUUUUAUGAUUAAAUGACUGGCUUGGUGGAUAAGGUGAUAUUUAUCUUGACUUUAGAAAGGCUUUCAUCGCUGUCUGCUAUAAUAUCCCCAUUGACAAACUGAUGAAAUACAGGCUAGGUAAGUGGACAGUGAGGCAAACUGAAAACCAGCUGCACUGCUGGGCUUAAAGGAUUGUGAUUAGCAGCAUGAAGUUCAGCUGGAAGCCAGUCACUAUUGGUGCAUCCUAGGAGCCAGUACUGUUUAAUAUCUUCAUUAAUGAUUGGGAUAAUGGGACAGAUUGCACUCUCAGGAAGUUUGCUAACAAAACUGGGAGGAGUGACUGAUAGACCAGAUGGAUGUGCUGCCAUCCAGAAGGAUCCCAUCCAGAAGGCGAGAGAAAUGAAUAAACAGGAACCUCAGGAAGUUUUAGAAAAGUGAAAUUCCAGGUCCUGUACCUAGGGGGGAAUAACCCCAUGCACCAAUUCACACUGAGGUGCAACCAGCUGGAAAACAUCUCUGUGGAAAGGGACUGGGGGCUCUGAUGGACAACAAGUUGACAACAAGCCAGCAAUGCACCUACAUGGCAAAGAAGGCCACUAGAAAUCACUGACUGGAGUGAAGACAACUAACAGUGUUAGUUACAAACAGUGAAAGCACCUAACACUUCCUACUGGCUAUUAAAAAUCUGUUAGACCUAUUAAUCAGAAUAAGUUGAUGAUAUUUCUAUCAAUCAGAAUAAAUUGAUAGUGAUAAUUAAGGCAUAUCUGUUUUCAUGGAGCCAUAUAAAUUUAGUAGUAAAUAGCAAAAUUUUAAUAAAAUAGAACAGGUUUCAUAAAACAAUCUUUUGUAAAACCCAAUAUAUGCAAGACCAAUAAUACUUUAGGAAAAAGACCGUAAGUAUCUAACAGAUAGUCUUCAUUUCUGUAUGCUGUUAAUAUCAAGUAUUCUACAAUUUGUUUACUACAAUGCCAUUCUAAAGUUUGUCAAUUGUCUCAUCUGUUGUAUGCAUGCACUUGCCACCUUUUCUCCAGUAUUAUACAGCAUCUGAAAAGGUUUUCUGAUUUCUACAGACAGUCAGCUAACCCCCACAGCAAGCUUAUAAAAGUCUGUGCACUCUUCUGUGCUACUUUGGAAUACUAGUCCUAUUCUGCUUGCUGGAAAGCUGCUCUUUUGUUCACAUGAGAUGACAGAAGGUCUUAAAAUAUUAGCAAUUGAUAAUUAUCAAUAGAUACACAACUUCAUAGUGUAUUCUGCAACACAUUAAUGUAUUGCACUACAAACCAGCAUCUGAUGUUUCUCUGUUCUUUCUUUGUGUAAAGGGAUAAGAUACAGAGUAAACAUGCAUGAUAGCUACUGAAAUGGUCCAUAAUUUUAUACAUUCUAAAGGCAUGUAAUAAAGGGUACAUUUCCUAACAUUUUAGAAUAUCUGGGUGUGGAUACAGUGUAAUCUAAUAAAUCAUGAAAAGUAUGUUGACCAUGAUGUAUAUACUUUGCAGCUGGAGGAGAAACCAUCCAGGCUCUUUGUGAGAAGACAAAACAUGCUAAUUGGGAAAACUACCUGAGAAGAUAAGAAAUAGAGGCUGGAAGGAAAGAAAAAUUAAGGAGAAAACAGACAUUAUUUGGAUUAUUUUAAUUAUAUAUAUAUAUAUAUAUAUUAAUUAUUUAAAAAAAAAAAAAAAAGCCAUUGAUAUGUCAUGCAAUUUUCAAUGUUCCAUUUUUAGUACCCAAAGGGAUUAGCCCAGUAGUUUCUCUUAAUGUAAAUAACAAGGACCACUGAGGUAAUUCUGACUAUAUAAUUUUUUUUAUUCCAAAUGUUGUCCAGUUACUUAAGAAUAGAGUACACUUGCACUUUUUUUUUUUU